UACGUAGGGGGGCAAGCGUUGUCCGGAAUUAUUGGGCGUAAAGCGCGCGCAGGCGGUCAUUUAAGUCUGGUGUUUAAUCCCGGGGCUCAACCCCGGUUCGCAUUGGAAACUGGAUGACUUGAGUGUAAGAGAGGAAAGUGGAAUUCCACGUGUAGCGGUGAAUGACGUAGAGAUGUGGAGGAACACCAGUGGCGAAGGCGACUUACUGGACACGUAUUGACGCUGAGGUGCGAAAGCGUGGGGAGCAAACAGG
rnacentral:rRNA from 1 species